rnacentral:misc_RNA from 1 species
UUAAGUUCAGCGGGUAUCCCUACCUGAUCCGAGGUCAACCUUGGUAAAAAGUGUCCCGAAGGACGAAGACCGGCGCCUGGACUUCUAGCCAUGUACGUGCCCGAAAGCUCAGUGUACAGGAGUCCUCGCAGACGCCGUCAUUAUCUUUGGGUGGAGCGUAGCCGGUUGACCAGUUACGCUGCCACCAACAGCAAGCCGGG